rnacentral:rRNA from 1 species
UCAGGACGAACGCUGGCGGCGUGCCUAAUACAUGCAAGUAGAACGCUGAAGAGAGGAGCUUGCUCUUCUUGGAUGAGUUGCGAACGGGUGAGUAACGCGUAGGUAACCUGCCUUGUAGCGGGGGAUAACUAUUGGAAACGAUAGCUAAUACCGCAUAACAAUGGAUGACACAUGUCAUUUAUUUGAAAGGGGCAAUUGCUCCACUACAAGAUGGACCUGCGUUGUAUUAGCUAGUAGGUGAGGUAACGGCUCACCUAGGCGACGAUACAUAGCCGACCUGAGAGGGUGAUCGGCCACACUGGGACUGAGACACGGCCCAGACUCCUACGGGAGGCAGCAGUAGGGAAUCUUCGGCAAUGGGGGCAACCCUGACCGAGCAACGCCGCGUGAGUGAAGAAGGUUUUCGGAUCGUAAAGCUCUGUUGUAAGUCAAGAACGAG